AUUUAUAUAGUUUAAAUAAAAAUAUUACAUUUUCAUUGUAAAGUUAGAUUACUUUUCUUAUAAAUU
rnacentral:tRNA from 1 species